CUACGUGCCAGCAGCCGCGGUAAUACGGAAGGUCCAGGCGUUAUCCGGAUUUAUUGGGUUUAAAGGGAGUGUAGGCGGUCUGUUAAGCGUGUUGUGAAAUUUAGGUGCUCAACAUCUACCUUGCAGCGCGAACUGGCGGACUUGAGUGCACGCAACGUAUGCGGAAUUCAUGGUGUAGCGGUGAAAUGCUUAGAUAUCAUGACGAACUCCGAUUGCGAAGGCAGCGUACGGGAGUGUUACUGACGCUUAAGCUCGAAGGUGCGGGUAUCGAACAGGAUUAGAUACCCUGGUAGUCCGCACGGUAAACGAUGGAUGCCCGCUGUUAGCGCCUGGCGUUAGCGGCUAAGCGAAAGCAUUAAGCAUCCCACCUGGGGAGUACGCCGGCAACGGUGAAACUCAAAGGAAUUGACGGGGGCCCGCACAAGCGGAGGAACAUGUGGUUUAAUUCGAUGGUACGCGAGGAACCUUACCUGGGUUUGACAUCUAGAGGAAUGUCUUAGAGAUAAG
rnacentral:rRNA from 1 species